rnacentral:rRNA from 1 species
UACAGAGGGGGCAAGCGUUGUUCGGAAUUACUGGGCGUAAAGGGCGCGUAGGCGGCCUGUUAAGUCGAACGUGAAAUCCCCGGGCUCAACCCGGGAACUGCGUCCGAUACUGGCAGGCUUGAAUCCGGGAGAGGGAUGCGGAAUUCCAGGUGUAGCGGUGAAAUGCGUAGAUAUCUGGAGGAACACCGGUGGCGAAGGCGGCAUUCUGGACCGAUAUUGACGCUGAGGAGCGAAAGCCAGGGGAGCAAACGGG